CCAUUUGAGGCUAUAGAUGGAUGUGAUCAUAAUGGACCAUUUGAGUUCAAGAUUGAGAAAGUUAUGGACUUGGAUUCUUGUUUUACAUACUUGAAGUCAUGGUCAGCUUAUCAAACUGCAAAAGAAAAGGGUGUUGAGUUGUUAAGUGAAGAUGUUGUUGAAAAAUUUACAAGUGCUUGGAAUGAAGAUGGGAAGAGUGAGAAAAAAGUGAUUUAUCCUAUUUACUUGAGGAUUGGAAAAGUUGGAAAUUUGGAUUGAAAGUGUAAAG
rnacentral:lncRNA from 1 species